UGGGGAAUAUUGCACAAUGGAGGAAACUCUGAUGCAGCGACGCCGCGUGAGUGAAGGAGGUCUUCGGAUCGUAAAACUCUGUCCUUGGUGAAGAAGAAAAUGACGGUAGCCAAGGAGGAAGCCCCGGCUAACUACGUGCCAGCAGCCGCGGUAAUACGUAGGGGGCGAGCGUUGUCCGGAUUUACUGGGCGUAAAGGGUGAGUAGGCGGUUAUAUAAGUCAGAUGUAAAAGGCACAGGCUUAACUUGUGUAAGCAUUUGAAACUGUAUAACUUGAGUGCAGGAGAGGUAAGUGGAAUUCCUAGUGUAGCGGUGAAAUGCGUAGAUAUUAGGAGGAACACCAGUGGCGAAGGCGACUUACUGGACUGUAACUGACGCUGAGUCACGAAAGCGUGGGGAGCAAACAGGAUUAGAUACCCUGGUAGUCCACGCCGUAAACGAUGGGUACUAGGGGUAGGGGUUUCGAUACCUCUGUGCCGCCGUUAACACAAUAAGUACCCCGCCUGGGGAGUACGGUCGCAAGAUUA
rnacentral:rRNA from 1 species